rnacentral:rRNA from 1 species
AUGCACGCUGGCGGCGUGCCUCAUACAUGCCAGUCGAGCGAACGGACGAGAAGCUUGCUUCUCUGAUGUUAGCGGCGGACGGGUGAGUAACACGUGGAUAACCUACCUAUAAGACUGGGAUAACUUCGGGAAACCGGAGCUAAUACCGGAUGAUAUUUUGAACCGCAUGGUUCAAAAGUGAAAGACGGUCUUGCUGUCACUUAUAGAUGGAUCCGCGCUGCAUUAGCUAGUUGGUAAGGUAACGGCUUACCAAGGCAACGAUGCAUAGCCGACCUGAGAGGGUGAUCGGCCACACUGGAACUGAGACACGGUCCAGACUCCUACGGGAGGCAGCAGUAGGGAAUCUUCCGCAAUGGGCGAAAGCCUGACGGAGCAACGCCGCGUGAGUGAUGAAGGUCUUCGGAUCGUAAAACUCUGUUAUUAGGGAAGAACAUAUGUGUAAGUAACUGUGCACAUCUUGACGGUACCUAAUCAGAAAGCCACGGCUAACUACGU